AUUGAACGCUGGCUGCAGGCCUAACACAUGCAAGUCGAACGAGUGGCGGACGGGUGAGUAAUGUCUGGGAAACUGCCCGAUGGAGGGGGCUAACUACUGGAAACGGUAGCUAAUACCGCAUACCAUCGGAUGUGCCCAGAUGGGAUUAGCUAGUAGGUGGGUUAACGGCUCACCUAGGCGACGAUCCCUAGCUGGUCUGAGAGGAGGACCAGCCACACUGGAACUGAGACACGGUCCAGACUCCUACGGGAGGCAGCAGUGGGGAAUAUGGCACAAUGGGCGCAAGCCUGAUGCAGCCAUGCCGCGUGUAUGAAGAAGGCCUUCGGGUUGUAAAGUACUUUCAGCGAGGAGGCGUUACUCGCAGAAGAAGCACCGGCUAACUCCGUGCCAGCAGCCGCGGUAAUAC
rnacentral:rRNA from 1 species